rnacentral:rRNA from 1 species
UCGGAAGCCGGGAAAGGAAAGACCGGUCCAAGCACAGGAGGCGUUGCGCAGGCAAAUCCGCGCAAUAAGCCAAAGGUGUGACGGGGAGCGAAAUUAUAGUAGCGAAGUCCGGAUACAUGCUGUCAAGAAAAGCCGCUAUUGCGCCAUAUGUACCCGUACCGUAAACCGACACAGGUGGAUGAGGAGAGAAUCCUAAGGCCGGCGGGAGAAGUGUUGUCAAGGAACUCGGCAAAAUGGCCCCGUAACUUCGGGAGAAGGGGCGCCCAGAAAUGGGCCGCAGAGAAAAGGCUCAAGCAACUGUUUAGCAAAAACACAGGUCCAUGCGAAACCGAAAGGCGAGGUAUAUGGGCUGACGCCUGCCCGGUGCUGGAAGGUUAAGGGGAGAGGUUAGCCGCAAGGCGAAGCUUUGAACUUAAGCCCCAGUAUACGGCGGCCGUAACAAUAACGGUCCUAAGGUAGCGAAAUUCCUUGUCGGGUAAGUUCCGACCCGCACGAAAGGCGUAAUGAUUUGAGCACUGUCUCGACAACACACCCGGUGAAAUUGAAAUACCAGUGAAGAUGCUGGUUACCUGCGCCAGGACGGAAAGACCCCAUGGAGCUUUACUCUAGUUUGAUACUGGGACCCGGUAUGACAUGUACAGGGUAGAUGGGAGGCAGAGAAUUAAUGACGCCAGUCAUUAAGGAGCCGCUGUUGGGAUACCACCCUUGUGAUGCCAGGUUUCUAACGAGCUGCCGUGAACCGGCAGGCGGACAAUGUCAGGCGGGGAGUUUGACUGGGGCGGUCGCCUCCGAAAGGGUAUCGGAGGCGCUCAAAGGUUCCCUCAGAAUGGUUGGAAACCAUUCGGAGAGUGCAAAGGCAGAAGGGAGCCUGACUGCGACACCGACGGGUGGAGCAGGUACGAAAGUAGGACUUAGUGAUCCGGUGGUAUAAAGUGGGAUUGCCAUCGCUCAACGGAUAAAAGCUACCCUGGGGAUAACAGGCUUAUCACUCCCAAGAGUUCACAUCGACGGAGUGGUCUGGCACCUCGAUGUCGGCUCAUCGCAUCCUGGGGCUGGAGUAGGUCCCAAGGGUUGGGCUGUUCGCCCAUUAAAGCGGUACGCGAGCUGGGUUCAGAACGUCGUGAGACAGUUCGGUCCCUAUCCGGCGCGGGCGUAAGAGAUCUGAGAGGAGCUGUCCUUAGUACGAGAGGACCGGGAUGGACGGACCACUGGUGUAUCUGUUGCACCACCAGGUGCACGGCAGAGUAGCCAAGUCCGGACGGGAUAAACGCUGAAGGCAUCUAAGCGUGAAGCCCCCCUCAAGAUGAGAUCUCUCAUUCGAAAGAAGUAAGACCCCUUGAAGACGACGAGGUAGAUAGGGCAGGGGUGGAAGGGCAGUAAUGUCCGGAGCUGACUGUUACUAAUCGGUCGAGGGCUUGACC